GUGUGUAUGUGUGUGUUGGCAGUGGCAGAGGCUGAUCUAAUAUGGGCUAUCUAACACCUGUUUCUCCUCCAGUCACAGAGCUGUGUGUGUGUCGGCCGCUGCGCUGUCUGGACUCCACGCGGGACAGCUCAGCAACACCCUCUGCCUGCCAUUACCCGCUCGUGACGCCGCUGCUCCGCCACCUGCUGCUCUUCAACAGGGUGUGGAUGCCGCAGGUGAGGAGUGAGUCGUAUCUGCUGGUGUGUGCCGAGGGGACUGAACUGCAGCUGUGGGAGCGACACUGCAGCGCUGAUCUGUCCUGAAGAACAGACACUAGAUAGUCUACAGCAGCAUGGACUGUGAUCUGUUCUUCUCUAUUCUUCAGUUCCAGCCUAUAACACAUUUUCAGCGUCACAGCCACAUGAUUCAGUGAAUGGGGCAUUUAAAUCUGCACCAUAUUCUGGUUGCGCUCAUAUUCUGAAUAUGAUGUUUAUAUGCUUAAAUACGGUAGUUUUAGGUCUGCUGAUCUACACAUGCACAUUUAAUUUUUUGCAAUUGUCUAAAAGAUUUCCUAAGAGAGUCUUAGGAAGUAUGUGCAUCAGAAAUGAGUUUCCAAUUCUUAAUACCUACAGCUAAUGCAUGUAAUCGCUCAUAAUUCUUCGUGGUCUGAGCAUGUGAAUCUCCUUUCAGUGGAUUUUCUGAAUAAGGUGUUUACAUGCAAACACGUUUCUCAUUAAAACAGGUUUAUUCAAGGAGUGGGAAACAGAUUUUUGAGAAUUAAAAUAUUGUCUUAAACUGAAUCAGGCAAUCAGAGUGUGGUGUUUAAUAUGUGACUCCAUACUAAUCUGAAUAUUGACAAAAUCUGAUUAUUAACGGAAUAUUCACGUGCAUG